rnacentral:tRNA from 1 species
GGAUGUGAUUCAGUGGUAGAACACAUGUUUGGCAAGCAUGACGCUCUGGGUUCAACUCCUAGCACCA